UUCAGACUGGUAGGAGCUGAUCAUUGCUGUGGAUAAGUGGCUGCUUACACAUAUCUUAGGAUUUCAACUCAUCCUUCCAGUCAGAAGAAAUUCUCUGAGAGAAGCAGUUUUCUAACAUCAAAAUCAACAUUAAAAAAAAAAAAAAAAGAUUCUUUGGGCAGCCAAAUCCAUGACCGAGACUAUUUUUAAAAGGUGCUGCCGGCAAGAGAGAUGUUCAAGAUUAUACAGGUGAUUCUGGAGUAUGAAGCAAAAUGGGUGUAAGCAAGGAUGUCAAAUAUGGACUCCAACAGCCAUAUGCCAGCUUGAGAGAAAUAAUAAACACUUUCCAUUUAUCUUUUUCCAGCAGAGUCAAGACUGCAGAGUUGUGC